rnacentral:lncRNA from 1 species
UCCUGAAAAUAAUGGUUUGUACUUGUAAUUAAAGUAAUAUCUUGCUCUAUUUUCUGAUACAGAUUCCACGAAAGCAAAUGGAAGUCACAACUGCACAGAGGAAGGAUUUGGGCCAUUUUUGUUACAAUUUGAAGAAAAGUCAGAUAUAAUCUACCAGCAACAAGAUGCUGUGCUUGCUAAGGAGAGC